GACGAACGCUGGCGGCGUGCUUAACACAUGCAAGUCGAGCGAGACCCCGCUUCGGGUGGGUGUUCUAGCGGCGAACGGGUGAGUAACACGUGGGCAACCUGCCCUCAGCUCUGGGAUAACUCCAAGAAAUUGGGGCUAAUACCGGAUAUGACCGCUGACCGCAUGGUCUGGUGGUGGAAAGAUUUAUCGGCUGGGGAUGGGCCCGCGGCCUAUCAGCUUGUUGGUGGGGUAGUGGCCUACCAAGGCGACGACGGGUAGCCGGCCUGAGAGGGUGACCGGCCACACUGGGACUGAGACACGGCCCAGACUCCUACGGGAGGCAGCAGUGGGGAAUAUUGCGCAAUGGGCGAAAGCCUGACGCAGCGACGCCGCGUGGGGGAUGACGGCCUUCGGGUUGUAAACCUCUUUCAGCAGGGACGAAGCGAAAGUGACGGUACCUGCAGAAGAAGCACCGGCCAACUACGUGCCAGCAGCCGCCGUAA
rnacentral:rRNA from 1 species